rnacentral:rRNA from 1 species
AUUGAACGCUGGCGGCAUGCCUUACACAUGCAAGUCGAACGGCAGCACGGGAGCAAUCCUGGUGGCGAGUGGCGAACGGGUGAGUAAUACAUCGGAACGUGCCCAAUCGUGGGGGAUAACGCAGCGAAAGCUGUGCUAAUACCGCAUACGAUCUACGGAUGAAAGCAAGGGAUCGCAAGACCUUGCGCGAAUGGAGCGGCCGAUGGCAGAUUAGGUAGUUGGUGAGGUAAAGGCUCACCAAGCCUUCGAUCUGUUGCUGGUCUGAAAUUACCACGAGCCUCAUUGUAACUGACCCUCAUUCCCCCUUCUUACUAGAAAAAGCCGUGUGGAUCUUUACAAAAAGGGGUUAAAACCCGAAAGGGCUUUGUCCUGCACGCGACAAGGGUGGAUCAGGCGUUCGCCGAUUGUCUAAAAUUCCACACUGCUGUCUCCCAUAAGGAGCUGGGGCGAGGUUCAGUUCCAAUGUGGCCGGGGCCCCCCCCCCGACCAGCCACCGGAUCGACGGGGUUGGUGAACCUUUUACCUCACCAAAUUACUGAACUGACAAUGGGCGCGUCAGUUUCUCAAGGGCAUGGAGACCCCGCGUUCAAACCCUGAUACUAUUCGGGUUUUACACACGCUUUUUGCCUGCGUAUCCCCCCCCAAGUAGGUACCUUUCCAAAGAAUUAUCACCAUUUUCGAAUAAGAUAUACGGUUGUUUCCGCCGCUCGCGGCGGCUGGGGUGGCGCCAGGGGGGCUACCCCCGGUGAAUAGAGACCAGGAAUCCCCCCAUUAAGGGACGGUGGCGAGGCAGCGUUGGGACUCCUCAUAUGGGAUAGGAGGGGGGGGGAGUGCGCUCGGCCCCUCGCGGGGGCUCUUAUACUUUUAGGGGGUUGUGUAUGUACAUCGCUUGUACGUUCUGAUCCGAUAUGUAAUUACU